GACGAACGCUGGCGGCGUGCCUAAUACAUGCAAGUAGAACGCAGUUGCGAACGGGUGAGUAACGCGUAGGUAACUGCCUUAUAGCGGGGGAUAACUAUUGGAAACGAUAGCUAAUACCGCAUACUGUGGGAUGGACCUGCGUUGUUUUAGCUAGUUGGUGGGGUAAAGGCUCACCAAGGCGACGAAACAUAGUCGACCUGAGAGGGAGGACAGGCACCAUGGGAACGGGAACACGCCCAGACUUCCAACGGAAGGAGGCGUGGGGAAUCAUCGGCAAAGGGCGGAAGUCUGACCGAGCAACGCCGCGUGGGUGAAGAAGGGUUUCGGAUCGUAAAGGUAUGUUGUUAGAGAAGCGGUACCUAACCAGAAAGGGACGGCUAACUACGUGCCAGCAGCCGCGGUAAUUC
rnacentral:rRNA from 1 species